GCCUCGAGGUUGCAUCGUUUUUAACUUGUGUAUCCAAAAGCCUUCUCUUUUUCUUAAUUUAAGCAUUAAAUAUCCUCCUCUUUCAUCCAAACGUACUUGUUCUAUUGCUAUAAAAUAAAUAUUAUUCUUAAAUGAGGGGCAUUUAUUACAAUGUUCCGGAACUGAAUGUGUAGUAACUUUAUUCUGUAUAUUGUUAUAGUGUUCCAGACAUCUCACUUUUGCUUUCCUG